rnacentral:rRNA from 1 species
CUCAACCCCGGAAGUGCGACUGAAGCUGGCAGGCUUGAGUAUGGGAGAGGGAAGUGGAAUUCCUGGUGUAGCGGUGAAAUGCGUAGAUAUCAGGAGGAACACCGGUGGCGAAGGCGACUUCCUGGACCAAUACUGACGCUGAGGCGCGAAGGCGUGGGUAGCAAACAGGAUUAGAUACCCUGGUAGUCCACGCAGUAAACGGUGAUCACUAGGUGUUGCGGGCUUUGAUGUCUGCAGUGCCGAAGCAAACGCAUUAAGUGAUCCGCCUGGGGAGUACGGCCGCAAGGUUAAAACUCAAAGGAAUUGACGGGGGCCCGCACAAGCGGUGGAGCAUGUGGUUUAAUUCGACGCAACGCGAAAAACCUUACCUGGGUUUGACAUCUGGGGGAUGCCAUGGAGACAUGGCAGUGCCCUUCGGGGAGCCC